GCCCAGGUGGCGCAGCGGUUAGCGCGUGGGAUUGCAGAUCCUAAGGUCAGUCGUUCAAAUCGGCUUCUGGGCU
rnacentral:tRNA from 1 species